rnacentral:rRNA from 1 species
GCACGGGUGAGUAACACGUAGGUAACCUGCCUUACAGUGGGGGAUAACCAGAAGAAAUUCUGGCUAAUACCGCAUACGAAAGUAAUUUGAAAGGAUGCUUCGGCAUUCGCUGUUAGAUGGGCCUGCGUUACAUUAGCUUGUUGGUGGGGUAAUGGCCUACCAAGGCGACGAUGUAUAGCUGGUCUGAGAGGAUGAUCAGCCACACUGGAACUGAGACACGGUCCAGACUCC